rnacentral:misc_RNA from 1 species
AUGAUUGCGAAUCGUGACCUUCGGUGCUGGCUGCUGCUCACUCGUGAGCCAGUAAGUGCACGUUGGUCGCUUUCAUCCACUACCACACUUGUGCACCUUUGACCUCUUGCUAGCUUCGGCCCGCAGAGGAUUUUUAUACACCCACUCGAAUGUAAUGAAAUUAGUGUGUUGUGCGCAAGCACGAAUGUA